UACAAUCUGAGUUUACCGUGGAAGAAUAGAAAAAAGAUCCUGGGCCAUUGGAUUUGGGAUGUAUGGCAUAGAUUAGAGAGGUGGGAUCUGUACAGAUCGUGUGCAAAACUUUCCCUUUGCUCCCCACGAAUUUGCUUCAGGUCCUUCUUCUCCUCCCUCAAACGACACAUCUCUCUAUCGCUCUCCUGUUCCCCUAUCGCUCGCCGAACCUGGCGGCUGCCCAGAUCCGGUGAUUCCCUGGUGGACGACGACUACUCCCACGACUGCUCCCUGCCUCCCCCCUCCCAAUCCGGCAUUCAGGCAAUCUGGUAGUGCUCGAGCGCGUGGUGAUGCCACCACGGUAUCCUCCUCCCCGGUGCUCCUAGGUCCAGCAUUAGCUCACCGGAGCCAAGCCGGUGACGCUCGAUCUGCUCGCCUCCUUCGCCUCGCAUGCUCAGCAAGCGACAUCAAGGGGAGGUAUGGAUUUGGAUGUAGCUCACUGGCCAGGAGAACUUGCGGCGCCAACACACCAAUAUAGAUCCAUGAUCCAAAGCACUGUCCAGGACAAGUCGCCGGCUGCGCUGCUUGUAGAUGAAAUUAAACUGCUCCUCGGACUUGACCUGGAGCAUGCAAUAAAGCAUGUAUGUCGCGAACAAAAUGUUGUCAGCCAUGCUCACAAAAGGACCUGAUGAGAUAAAGCAGUUGUGCUCCUUAGACUGUAGUGCAGCCAGUUAAUUAAUGUUUUGGCUUACACUUUUCAGCUAUAUAUUGUCAUGCCAACUCACUGAUACAUGAUUAUGGUUGAAGAACAAUGCUGAGCAGUGCAAGGUUACACCAUCACAUCACAGUUCAAACACAUCUUCUUUUUCUUGAUAGGUUUUGAGAUAGCUUACUGCGCUUAUGCCCAAUGGUAGUUUAACCGGGCAUCUUAAAUAUUCUAAUAAUCACACUGGUGUGGCACAGCACUGCUUAUGCCCAAUGGUAGGUUGCUGGCUGCUAGUUAGGAACAAAAGGUGCAUAAAGGUCCAAAAGCAAGAAAUGAUUUGAUUCGUAGUGCAUAAAGGUGCUUAAUUUUUAUGUCAUCACACUUGGGGUUCGCUGUUCAUGUAGCGAUGCUUAUUCAGUGGGGGUCACUUCAGUCCUUCACACUUGGGGUUCGCUGUUCAUGUCGUGGAAAAGGAUGUCAUGUUAUGUACCAAGUAAUAUAUGUAUGUGUCUUGUGCACUCAAAUUAGGAUGGAUGACAUGCACUAAAAAGUUCUUGCCUAGGAUGAUCCACUUAGACAUGUAUUCAAAAGAUCAUACUGGACAUAUAUUCCCAUAUUUGUCUGGGUCCAUCUUUGGAUUUAUUAGGAACAGAAUGGUUGUGAUGAUUUGAAGUAGAAAAUGAUCAUGUCAUUAUAUGUACCAAGAUAUACAUGUAUGUGUAUUGGGUACUCAAGUUAGGAUGGAUAACACGCACCGAAAUUUGUCUGCCUAUGAUGAGAUCCACUUGGAAAUGUAUUAAAAAAAUUGUGCUUGACAUACCAUAUUUGUGUCUGGGUUGAUUCAGCUUUUGAUUUACUAGGAACAGAAUGGUUUUCAAGAUUUGAAGUUGCCCAGAUUGAAUAUGAGAAAGUUGGGGUUCUUACUGCAAAAUGUCAUGUUUAUAUCUAACUGUUAGUAGGGGGGUUUUCAUCAAAUGUACAAUAAGUAGCCUGAGACCCCUCCACUCCGAUCUGUACCGACAAUAUUGGAUCCAACAGCCAACGUUGUG